UCGAGCGGACCGACGGGAGCUUGCUCCCUUAGGUCAGCGGCGGACGGGUGAGUAACACGUGGGUAACCUGCCUGUAAGACUGGGAUAACUCCGGGAAACCGGGGCUAAUACCGGAUGCUUGAUUGAACCGCAUGGUUCAAUCAUAAAAGGUGGCUUUUAGCUACCACUUACAGAUGGACCCGCGGCGCAUUAGCUAGUUGGUGAGGUAACGGCUCACCAAGGCGACGAUGCGUAGCCGACCUGAGAGGGUGAUCGGCCACACUGGGACUGAGACACGGCCCAGACUCCUACGGGAGGCAGCAGUAGGGAAUCUUCCGCAAUGGACGAAAGUCUGACGGAGCAACGCCGCGUGAGUGAUGAAGGUUUUCGGAUCGUAAAACUCUGUUGUUAGGGAAGAACAAGUACCGUUCGAAUAGGGCGGUACCUUGACGGUACCUAACCAGAAAGCCACGGCUAACUACGUGCCAGCAGCCGCGGUAAUACGUAGGUGGCAAGCGUUGUCCGGAAUUAUUGGGCGUAAAGCGCGCGCAGGCGGUUUCUUAAGUCUGAUGUGAAAGCCCCCGGCUCAACCGGGGAGGGUCAUUGGAAACUGGGGAACUUGAGUGCAGAAGAGGAGAGUGGAAUUCCACGUGUAGCGGUGAAAUGCGUAGAGAUGUGGAGGAACACCAGUGGCGAAGGCGACUCUCUGGUCUGUAACUGACGCUGAGGCGCGAAAGCGUGGGGAGCGAACAGGAUUAGAUACCCUGGUAGUCCACGCCGUAAACGAUGAGUGCUAAGUGUUAGAGGGUUUCCGCCCUUUAGUGCUGCAGCAAACGCAUUAAGCACUCCGCCUGGGGAGUACGGUCGCAAGACUGAAACUCAAAGGAAUUGACGGGGGCCCGCACAAGCGGUGGAGCAUGUGGUUUAAUUCGAAGCAACGCGAAGAACCUUACCAGGUCUUGACAUCCUCUGACAACCCUAGAGAUU
rnacentral:rRNA from 2 species